GGGGACGUAAAGGUUUCGACGGGGAUUUUGAAGCACAAGGAGCGAGCAGCGGCGGGUACCGCUUUAUCAAACUCAAUUUUAAAAUUAAACGCUAACGAUAAUUUAGCUUACGCUGCCUAAUUAAAGGCAGCCGUCCUUACCCGAAGGACCACGGUCGGGAUAAGGGCGUCAUCGAGUGGUGAACGUGAGCCGGCAAAGCUUUGAGCCGUCCACGAAUAAUGAAGCUACCAAACGGCAAAAGUUUGUUUGCGGACUUUGCCGGGAGGGAAUGUUGACCGCAAACUGCGCUCGGAGAGCCUCGUGUGAAUAGGUUUUCGGACAGGAGUUCAAUUCUCCUCGUCUCCACCA
rnacentral:tmRNA from 1 species